AGCUCGAGGAUUGUUUGCCCUAGGGCAAUAUACGCUAUGCUGAGAUCUACUCUUUAAUGAUGAAAGAUCAAUAAACUGAGAGCU